GCCCCGUGGUCAACCUGCUGGGCGUGCUCACGCUGGACCUGCGGCUCGUCGCAGGUUUCGUCUCCAUCGUCACCACCUACAGCACCCUGUUCCUCACGUUCAUGCCUUCAGGUUGCACUGACAAAUGAACAAGACAGGUCAACUCCACAAACUGCUGUGCGAACCUCUCUGGCCAGCAAGUCGUCCUGUUCGUAUACACGCUGUUCGGCAUGAUACCCUUUACUGUGAACUCUGAGGAGAUCUGUAACAGAACUCGCUCCACCAACCAGCGUGUGUGCGCUCACUCAAGCUGCUGUAUGAGGCCUUGUGCGAGACAUCAGAAAGUGUUGCGUCAGCUCACGAGUGGUUCCUUGUGACUUCCUUAGUGACUGUGGCCACAAACACAGUGCAAGCGAUUCACUUCAUCGCCAGUGGGGCGAACAUGUUGGACGUACAGAGCGCCACGAUCCGACGGCACAAG